rnacentral:pre_miRNA from 1 species
AGUACAAUUUCUGGGUUGAAUGUUUAGUUUUAAAAGAAACUGCCAAACUUUUUCCAGAGUAGCUAUCUCAUUUUACAUUCCCACCAGCAAU